ensembl:lncRNA
GAAUUUUAAGAAACAAUACCACAUCUUCAAGGGAGUAAAAAAUAUUUGCCAAUAUAAAUGAAGAAUUCUAACAGUGAUUGAGGAAAGGUGCAAAUUCAUGGUGUGGGGCAUAUCCGUGGCAAAUAAAGGUUGGGUGAAGUGUCAUGGUUUGGGCAUGACCAGAACAGCCCUCUAACUACCAAGCGAGGAGCUGGACAAUCUAAGGCUUCUAAUUUGAACUGCCCUGUCUUGUACUGCAUUGUCCAAUUCCACACCAAGGCAGUUUUUCACCUCUUCCUACCCUGCUUCCCCAUAGACAAAACCAUCACAUCAAAGCUUACCACAUCUGCAGAGAGUUCUGAGGUCCUUGGAAGAAAGCUGCUCCGUCCAGAUUACUCAUUAUCCUCAACCCUGUUAGUCGACAAAGAGGAUGCAGUAUGGUUGAUGGUCAUAACACUCCAUUUAAUCCCCAGUAAGUCCUUUUAACCCAACCCACCCAUCAGCUCUCACCUUCAAACCCAAGAAGGUCUAUUCUGACAGUGACUCAGCAUAGAGAGGGGAUGGUUGUAUUUUUUCUACCCGACUCCAAUUCUGCUAACAUGUUUCUAAAAGACUGUUGAGCUCCGAAUCUUUCAACCUCUAUAAGAUAAUGGAGGACAAUUAAAAUAAUACAGUUGUUAUUUUAUGGACAAAGCCACAUUUAUUUAUGGACAAAGCCAUAAAACAAUUUAUCCUAAGGUGAGAAAAGCAAGGAAAAAGCCAGAUGAGGCGGAGUUGUUCACCUCCAGGCAUGAGAGUCCUGGAAUUCUGCAUCAUUCUGUGCCUUAUUUAAAACCAAGUUUGGGAAAAUGGGAAGGGUUCAACAAAAGGUCAGUGGAUGUAACAGAGGGAUUUAAAAGAAAGGUUACAGAGAUUAAUUCAUUCACUAUCAAAGAAAGAGCAUGAGAAGCAGGAAUGCAGUACCUGGAGUUAUGUGUGUUUUGUCCAUGGGGAGUUCACAAUCUGCUUUCAAAUGUGAGCUCUUCUGUACAUACUGGAUUUAACCAAACUCCAAAACUCAAGACGAAACUUGAACUUGUUUGGAUGAAGUCACGCACUAAUGUUUAACAUCCACUCCUGCAUGAUUUGCCAUUUCCAUACCACAUCAAGCACCUGAAAACCCUCGUAUUUCACAUGGCUUCUGGUCCACCAGGAGUUUCGCAUAAGGCUUGAUUCACAUAAAACAUGACCAAAGCUCCAAGAAACUCACUAAAAUUUCAGAUAAAUCUAAUCAUUUUUGAGUUGGUGGUAAUACUCCUUCAGAUCUGAGGUCUCAUACCAAAAGUCUGACAAAUUUUCAGGUAUUUCAGUUACUAGCUGAUGGAGCUUUAUUAGUCCGUUAACCUAUGAUGAACAUUUAAUGCUUUUUAUUUAAAUUUGUUUGAAAUUCAAAUAGAAUCAUUGCAUGAAAGAGGUGAUGUCCCUUAAUUAAUCAACUCUUCUUUUUUUCCCCUCUUUCCCUAAAAGUCGCUAAAAGUAAUACACAGACUGAGACUACUCAAUUAGAAUCUAAAUGACUGAACCCAGAUCCAACGUCAGGAACAGGCACAAAGUUUAGUGACAUUUUGGGAAUCUGACCCAGCAGGAAGAGUAGAAAAUUAGAUUAAAAUUAGAAAUCCAUGAGGCUAAAGCAGAGCUAGAGCGAAUUAUAUUUCAAUAGGCAAAAAGUGUACGGGUCACACUGUACCGAGAUGGAAAGGCUGAGCCUGCCUGCUGCAGUCCAGAGAUCUAUUUCCCUCUCCUCCAUGAACCCGCUGUGGAUCCUCAGUCUGCACCCAUUUUUUCCCUGCAUAAAACUAAAAUAAGUAACGUAUCUAUUUCACAUGAGAAAGAAAUGACACUGAGCCAUAAUUAAUGUUUGUAGAGAUCCCUGAUAGGUUAUAAGGAGCGGAAGAACCUCAGAGCAUAGUCAUCCUACACAUCCCCCAGACCUCCUGUCACAGCCUUUUUCACCAGCAAUGACUUUCUUUUUAAAGAGAGGCUGGAAUUAUUUCAAAGAUAAACAAAAAUUUGUUUUCCAGGUGUUCUUGUACUCCAGCUAUGGCCCACACUUGCCACAAUUUGAAAAAAAAAAAUUAAACAAAGGGGCAUAUUUCUCCCAACAAAAAAAUAUAUAUAUAUAUUUGUCUCAUCUAUUGCUUAAGAGUUAAACCAAAAGGUAGAACACCAAAAUAUUUUUGGUGGUGGUGACAGUGGUGAGAAUUCAUAAGGUCUGUUCCUAUUCCCAGCCCUGUCGUUUGACGUGCUAAUUGGCUUGGGCGAGUUUCUCCAUCUCACUGUGUUCCCUCUCCUGCUUGCCUUAUCUGUUUAGACUGCGGGCUCCUGGGGACAGGGAGCCUCUUCUCAAAGGGCAUCUACAGGAUGCCAAACCAUUUAGGUCCCGCUGUCAGAGAAAUAACAGGCUUGGGAACCUGAACACAGGGGAAGGCUGAAUGCAAGUUCUGUUGCCCUUACCUCUGGUCAAACUAGACACAGAGCUCUUAACGUACCAUAACUUGUUUUCACUGGUGUUGACAAUACUAAAAAUUAGAAGGCCGCGUAUCAGGAGGCACGUGACAGAGAGCACGAAUGUCAGAAUGUGGGGAAGAUGCAGCAAUGUCUGAGGACUUACGUUUGGGCCAGCAGACACCGCUCAGUCUCUGCAUGCCAGAAAUAGCAGCGGGACGCAAGCACAGCAGCCAGUCUCCCCACUCCUGGUGCCAGUCUGUACUUCUGCAUCACUGAACAUUGCAAUGCAGGCUCUGUUACAUCCUAAGUUUAAAUUCAGUUGUUUUUACAACACAGAGACAGUGUAACAUUUGUAUCAGGUAGAAUAUGAGGAAAACAAAUAGAACAAUCUGAAUAU